rnacentral:rRNA from 1 species
GACGAACGCUGGCGGCGUGCUUAACACAUGCAAGUCGAACGGUGAAGGGAUCAGCUUGCUGGUUCUGUAUGAGUGGCGAACGGGUGAGUAACACGUGAGUAACCUGCCCCCUUCUUCUGGAUAACCGCAUGAAAGUGUGGCUAAUACGGGAUAUUCUGGGUCUGUCGCAUGAUGGGUCUGGGAAAGAUAUUGUUUCGGUGGGGGAUGGGCUCGCGGCCUAUCAGCUUGUUGGUGGGGUGAUGGCCUACCAAGGCGGUGACGGGUAGCCGGCCUGAGAGGGUGGACGGUCACACCGGGACUGAGACACGGCCCAGACUGCUACGGGGGGCAGCAGUAGGGAAUAUUGCGCGAGGGGGGCAAGCCUGAUGCAGCGACGCCGCGUGAGGGAUGGAGGCCUUCGGGUUGUAAACCUCUUUCGCAAGUGAAGCAGGCCUGCUCCUUGUGGGUGGGUUGACGGUAGCUGGACAAGAAGCGCCGGCUAACUACGUG